AUGGCGAACAUGGUGGAGGACAGUCAAGAUGAUCGGCUCAGCAAGUUGCCUGAUGACGUUUUGCUCAACAUUGUCGAGCGACUUGGUAUCGUUGACGUCGCACGAACCACCGUCCUGUCCAGACGUUGGAAGCAGAUCCCUGCUAUACUCUCGAAAGUUGUUAUAUUGGCUGGUUCUUUUGAGCCGAAGCACGAAGACUGGAGCAAGUUAACCCCAGAUGAUAUAGUUCGGGCCAACACCACCGUGCUGGAAGCAACCAGGAGCAUACUGGAAAGGAGAGCUGGAAGUCUGUACCCCAUUCACCUGUUGCGCAUGCAAUUCUACUUGGGAGAUGAGUCCAUUUUAAUUGGCCAGACUGUUGCCAACGCCAUAGCAACACAAAAGGUUGAUUCAGCUGAGUUUACAAUCUUGACGAAGGUGCGUAAGAAGUGUACCAAGAAUGAGCUGCUCAUAUAUGGGAAGCAAUUCAUGUCAUUCUUUGAUUCAUGUCCAAACGCAUUUGGUGGUCUUGCACGCCUCACGCUAGAGAAUUUGAGGUUAGGAGAAUCAGGCUUCCCCAAGAUUUUCAGUAUAUGCAAGCAACUGGAGUUCCUCUCCCUCUACGAAUGUGACAUGGGUAUUAAGUCUUUGCUGGAAGUGGAACACCCGCAACUCAGUGAACUAGUGAUUGUCUGUGGCCGUUUUGAGAGGGUUGAUCUGAAGUGGGCACCAAAGCUCACAAAACUGAAGUUUAAUGUGUUUAGAUGUCGGGAUGACCCCUUCUGUCUUGGCUAUGUCCCACUGCUCCAGACUGUGUCCAUCAUUAAUGUUGCUUUCACUUGGCACAAGAUGCUCAAGUUAAGUGAGUUGCUUGAUAAAGCUGCCAUAAGCAACCUGUCUUUGGACUUCAAAAGCGAAAAACUGCUGAAAGUCGACAGGCUAAUCAAACUGCCUGACGAUGUGCUGCUCAAUAUCCUUGAGAGGCUCGGCACGCUCGACGCCGUCAGGACCUGCGUCGUCUCCAAGCAAACGCUCAAUCUUCCGUCCUUGCUCUCGCAGAUCGUCAUCGACCUCAGCGACCGCGAUCUACACCGGAAGAACCGCGGCGUGGCAGACAUGACUGACAAGAUCCUCAGCACGAGGUCUCCACAGGUCCCCAUCCGCAACCUCAAGCUCAGGUUCAUCAUGAGAGGCGACGACCAUAUCAAGAUCGGCAGGGCCGUCGCCCUCGCCAUGGCCACGCAGAAGAUCGACGCGGCAGAGUUCGAGAUCCUGACCAAGGACAUCUAUUAUAGGCGCACCGAUGCCGAUCUCCUCGACUCCGCGAAGCUGUUCAACAAUUUCAUCGUCGAGUGUGCGGACGCGUUUGCCGGUCUCACGCGGCUGCAUCUGCAGAACCUCAGGUUGCGUCAAUGGGACAUAACCAACAUCCUAACCACCUGCAAGCGGCUCGAGUCGUUGCGUUUACUCCAGUGUGACGCGCGGAAACUUCCGGUGCUGCACGUAGAGCACGCCAGGCUCGUUGAGCUUACAUUCGCCUAUGCAAAAUUCUCAACGGUGGAGCUCGGCUGCCUACCCAAGCUUCGACGGAUGACCUUGCAUAGAUGGAUAUUUGAUAACCUAGACAAUCCCUUGAUUUUGGGCUAUGUCCCUCAGCUCUCCAAGCUAACUCUGGCGCAUGCCUUCAUUAUAAACAGGACCCUCAAGCUGAGCCAGCUGCUUGUUAAUGUUCCCUCAAUCAGUGACCUGCACCUCGAUUUUCAAAGUGAAAAGGUUUGGGUUCUACCGGAAUGCCCUAAAGUGCUUGCACCUGUGCUCGGCAAACUACGGCGCAUGAAUCUUAACAAUCUUCCUGAGGAAUGUGACAUCUCUUGGACAAUGUUCCUUCUUGAAGCCGCGCCAUCCUUAGAGGAGCUUUGCAUCACAGUAUGGGAUCAUAAAUGCCAAUUGGAGUCGCAAAAAAGUUACUACCAGAAAACCGAUGUGAAGUGGGAGCCAUCUACUCCUGAUUUCAAGCACAAUAAUCUUUCCAGACUAACUAUCUACGGCUUCCAGCCCAACGAUAACUUCAUGGGAUACGUCAGGCGCGUCAUUGAAGCUGUGGAGAACAUCAAGGAGGUAUCUCUACACGACAGGAAGGUGUGCGAGCACUGCGUUGUCAAGUUCCCUCAUCUCGGAGUCCGUCCUUGGAGUUGUCCACGGACCAGCGAGGAGGUGGAUUCAUUCAGACUGGAGAUCGCAGAGGUGAUCAAGGGGAGGGCCAUGGCGGUGGCUUCCACUCACAAAAUCCGCCAUGAUUUAACGAAAGCAUCUGACAAUGACCACAUAUUACUAAGCAAGCUGCCCAAUGACGACAUCGCCGAGAGGGUGGGUACGGUUGAUCUUGUAAGAACCUGCAUCCUCUCAAGGCAAAUGCAUAAACUGCCUCGGCUCGCUGAUUCUCCACGAUAUUAUUCCCCACUAUUUCGUUCGAAUCAACUGCAUCGUGGCCGAUGUGAUAGACAAAGUCUUGAGCAUGUGGUCUCGGCAGAUUACCGUUCGCAAGCUGAAGCUCAGGUUUUCUUGAGUCCCUCUCGUUGUCACUCGAUUGGCAAAUCAGCCGGCCUCGCCAUGGUGACCCAGAAACUAGAUGCAACCGAGUUUGAGAUCUUGACGCCAAGGGAUACCUAUUAUUGCACCGAGGCGUAUCCCCUGCUCUUUGUUAGGAAGUUUUCUAAUUUUGUUCGUCAUUGUGCAAAUGCUUUUGCUGGCCUCACAAGACCGCAACUGCAUAAUAUGAGAUUUAGUGAACUGGACAUACAAAACAUUCUAAGCACCUGCAAGCGCCUCAAGUCAUUGUGUUUCUUUGAGUGUGACGCGGGGAUCCGUUCAACAUUGCAUGUAAAACACACUCGAGUCCUUGAGCUUGUUAUCUCCUAUGGGGAAUUCAAAACAAAGGAGCUUGACCGUCUACCAAAGCUCCAACAGACGACCUACAAUGUCCCCUCCAUUUGGGUUCAACGGGAAUGCCCGAAAUUGCUUACUCGUGUGGUACUGCUCGCCAAACUACGGUUUGUGAAUUUGGACAAUCUUCCUGAAGAAUGUGAUAUCGCCUGGACAAUGUUCCUUCUUGAUGUUGCACCAUCUCUAGAAGCGCUUCGCAUCACGAGUGCCAAAGGAAGUCGCAUCACGGUAUGCGAGGAGGUGGAUUCGUUGAGGAAGAAGAUCAUAGAGGCGAAGGAGAAAGUGGACUCAUUGAGGAAGAAUGUCAUACAGGUGAUCAAUUCAAGGUAA
rnacentral:rRNA from 1 species